UACGAAGGGGCGAGCGUUGUUCGGAAUUACUGGGCGUAAAGGGCGCGUAGGCGGCCCUCUUUGUCGCGUGUGAAAGCCCGGGCUCAACCUGGGAACGGCGCGCGAAACGGGGGGCUGGAGUUCGGAAGAGGUCGUGGAAUUCCCAGUGUAGAGGUGAAAUUCGUAGAUAUUGGGAAGAACACCGGUGGCGAAGGCGGCGACCUGGUCCGAGACUGACGCUGAGGCGCGAAGCGUGGGAGCAAACAGG
rnacentral:rRNA from 1 species